CCUCACUGGGCUGCGUCCCAAUGGCACCCUAUUCCCUAUAUAGUGCACAAUGUAGGGAAUAGGGUGCCAUUGUAGCAUAUGACUGUGGCCAGGAAGAGAGAGCGGGGUCUGACCUGGAGGUUAAACAGGAAUACACUGUUAAAUGACUGCUCCUGGUUACUUGAUUGCAUGCAACGUUUUGACUGCAUUAAGCUCAAUAUUUGUGUUAGCUCCCUGGGCUAAUGCCUAGGAGAUUAGCUCAGUGGGCUUUCAUAGUCUUGUGGUGUCACGUUAGUGUACAGACAGGCUUCAGCUGUACAGCACUCAGUGGUAUCAUCAGAAACACACCUGUCAAUCAAUCAACUCAUCAAUCAUACUAGUCAAUCAAUCAUACUAGUCAAUCAUACUACUGAUGCUUACUGAGAUGCAGUUUCUGGGGUGCUACUGUAUGUCUGUAACGUGUCUGUAUGAAUGUCUGUAGCGUGUCUGUAUGCAUGUCUGUAUGAAUGUCUGUAGUGUGUCUGUAUGAAUGUCUGUAGUGUUUCUGUAUGCAUAUCUGUAGCGUGUCUGUAUGCAUAUCUGUAGCGUGUCUGUAUGAAUGUCUGUAGUGUGUCUGUAUGCAUAUCUGUAGCGUGUCUGUAUGAAUGUCUGUAGGACUGUCUGUAGGACUGUCUGUAGCGUGUCUGAAGGACUGUCUGUAGCGUGUCUGAAGGACUGUCUGUAUGAAUGUCUGUAGGACUGUCUGUAGCGUGUCUGAAGGACUGUCUGUAGCGUGUCUGUAUGAAUGUCUGAAGGACUGUCUGUAGCGAAUCAUACUAGUCAAUCAUACCAGUCAAUCAUACUACUGAUGCUUACUGAGAUGCAGUUACUGGGGUGCUACUGUAUGUCUGUAGCGUGUCUGUAGCGUGUGUCUGUCUUUCGGACCGUCUGUAGCGUGUGUCUGUCUUUCGGACCGUCUGUAGCGUGUGUCUGUCUUUCGGACCGUCUGUAGCGUGUGUCUGUCUUUCGGACCGUCUGUAGCGUGUGUCUGUCUUUCGGACUGUCUGUAGCGUGUGUCUGUCUUUCGGACCAUCUGUAGCGUGUGUCUGUCUGCAGCGUGUCUGUAGGACCGUCUGUAGCGUGUCUGUCUUUCGGACUGUCUGCAGCGUGUGUCUGUAGGACUGUCUGUAGCUAGGACUGUCUGUAGCGUGUGUCUGCAGGACUGUCUGUAGCACGUCUGUGGGACCGUCUGUAGCGUGUCUUUCAGACUGUCUGUAGUGUGUCUGUCUGUCGGACGGUAGCAUGUCUGUCGGACUGUCUGUAGCGUGUCUGUAGGACUGUCUGUAGCACUGUCUGUAGCGUGUCUGUAGGACUGUCUGUAGCUUGUCCGUAGGACUGUCUGUAGGACUGUCUGUAGCUUGUCCGUAGGACUGUCUGUAGCACUGUUUGUAGCGUGUCUGUAGGACUGUAUGUAGCGUGUCCGUAGGACUGUCUGUAGGACUGUCUGUAGCGUGUCUGUAGGACUGUCUGUAGGACGUCUGUAGAACUGUCUGUAGCGUGUCUUUUGGACUGUCUGUAGCGUGUCCGUAGGACUGUCUGUAGCGUGUCCGUAGGACUGUCUGUAGCGUGUCUUUCGGACUGUCUGUAGCGUGUCUUUCGGACUGUCUGUCGGACUGUCUGUAGCGUGUCUGUAUGACUGUCUGUAGCUUGUCCGUAGGACUGUCUGUAGGACUGUCUGUAGCGUGUCUGUAGGACUGUCUGUAGCGUGUCUGUAGGACUGUCUGUAGCGUGUCCGUAGGACUGCCUGUAGGACUGUCUGUAGCGUGUCUGUAGCGUGUCUGUAUGACUGUCUGUAGCGUGUCUGUAGGACUGUCUGUAGCGUGUCCGUAGGACUGUCUGUAGGACUGUCUGUAGCGUGUCUUUCGGACUGUCUGUUGCGUGUCUGUAGCGUGUCCGUAGGACUGUCAUUCGGACUGUCUGUAGCGUGACUGUCUGUAGCGUCUUUCGGACUGUCUGUAGCGUGUCUUUCGGACUGUCUGUAGCGUGUCCGUAGAACUGUCUGUAGCGUGUCCGUAGGACUGUCUGUAGCUUGUCCGUAGGACUGUCUGUAG
rnacentral:lncRNA from 1 species